rnacentral:rRNA from 1 species
CGGGAGAGGAGCACAGGGAUUGCCUUAGUAACUGCGAGUGAAGCGGCAAAAGCUCAAAUUUGAAAUCUGUGUCCUCUCUGGGCAUCGAGUUGUAAUUUGGAGGGAUAACUUCGGCGCGGACUACAUCGUAAGUUCCUUGGAACAGGACGUCAUAGAGGGUGAGAAUCCCGUGUCUUGGUGUUUGGCCGUGCCAUGUGAAGUGUCUCCGACGAGUCGAGUUGUUUGGGAAUGCAGCUCAAAAUGGGUGGUAAAUUUCAUCUAAAGCUAAAUAUUGGCGAGAGACCGAUAGCGCACAAGUAGAGUGAUCGAAAGAUGAAAAGCACUUUGAAAAGAGAGUUAAAAAGUACGUGAAAUUGUUGAAAGGGAAGCGCUUGCGACCAGACUCGAUCUUUGGUGAUCAGCCGGGCUUCUGUCCGGUGCCCUCACCUUUGAUUGGGCCAGCAUCGGUUCCGACGGUGGGAUAAAAGGAGGAGGAAUGUGACUCCCUUCGGGGAGUGUUAUAGCCUCCUUCACAAUGCCGCCAGUUGGGACCGAGGACCGCGCUUCGGCUAGGAUGCUGGCGUAAUGGUCUUAAGCGACCCGUCUUGAAACACGGACCAAGGAGUCUAACAUCUAUGCGAGUGUUCGGGUGGAAAACCCUUGCGCGUAAUGAAAGUGAACGGAGGUGUGAACCCUUCACGGGGUGCAACAUCGACCGGUCCUGAUGUCUUCGGAAGGAUCUGAGUAAGAGCAUAGCUGUUGGGACCCGAAAGAUGGUGAACUAUGCCUGAAUAGGGUGAAGCCAGAGGAAACUCUGGUGGAGGCUCGCAGCGGUUCUGACGUGCAAAUCGAUCGUCAAAUUUGGGUAUAGGGGCGAAAGACUAAUCGAUCCAUCCUUUGCGGC